GCCCAUUACUCAGAUUUUUGGCAGCCACUUCCAACCCACACCCCCAAAUUAUGUAAUUUUUGUGUCAUUCAACAGGUCUUACUCUUAUACCAUGAUCCUAGAAGAGAUCAGGCUUUCUGCUGGUAUCAGGACACUACAUGAUGCUUAACUGAUGUGUAGCAGUUUCUUGAAAUGUAUUCAGAUGACUUAAACCUUUAGGCAUACAUAUGUUUUACAAAAUAGUUAACGAGUUAGAAAAUGUUUACCCUCCAUUUCUGUGAGAUGUGAUUGUUAAAUAGAGAUUGUUUAGCAAAAAUAUUCAGAUGCUUUCUUUGAUUUGCAUUUUGUGAUAAAUAAUUGGAAUUAAUCGAACAGUAAUAAUAGUGUACAUAAAGGAAAACUACUUAUAACAAAUGUCAUGUUAGAAUAUGAAAGACAGGUAGGGAUUUGGGGCAGUUUAAUAGAUUAUUUUAUGAAGAACUUGAAAUUAUUGUAUUUAUUUUCUAGAUAUUUUAGCCAGAUAAAUUGAUUUUAAUUAUAGAAUAGAUGGUCAGUUCCUGGUGUUAUAUACUUGGAAUGUUAACCUUUAUUCAAAGAAAUCGGAAAUUCAAACACAAAGGUCCUAGAUUCAGAGUCAAUCACAGUGAUUUUUGAAAUAGAUAUACUUUACAUUCCUUUAUACCUAGUAGUCAAGUCAAACCUUUGACUUUUAUCUUUUUUCAUAUUUAUUUUUAGUUUAAUUUUGUUUCUGUCAUUUUUCAUGAACUUUUUGGAAAUCAAAAUAUGUUGUUGCAAUUCUUUGAAUGACGAAACCAUCAGACAGUAUCUAUGGAUUGUUUUAGGUUCAGGAAGAUUUGACUGAAGAGAAAAAAAGGGAACUGGAGCACAAUGCUGAAGAGACCUAUGGUGAAAAUGAUGAAAACGCUGAGGAUAAAAAUGAUGGAGAAGAGCAAGAAGUUCGAGAUGACAACCGUCCCAAAGGCCGAGAGGAACACUACGAGGAGGAGGAGGAGGAGGAGGACGGCCACAGGGCUGCUGCUGCCGCCGAGAAGCCCCAUCGAAGAGCUGAGAUGUAGCUGAGCCCAGUCUCCAGACGGCGCUCGGCCAGCGGAUUCUUUUCAAGCUGCUCCAAAAUAAAUCUGCCUACUGAACUCUAGGAUAUUUAAUUACAAAAAAAUUAAGAAUUUAGACUUUUUUUAACUUUUGUAUUAGAAAUGCUCAUACAUUUAUACACAUAUAUUUUGAUAACUUAGGUUAGAACUUUUAUAUUCAAGCUAAACACAAACAAGAAGAAAAACAGUAAAGCAAACCUUAGGCUCUGAAUCUCAUUUUUUUAUAGAUUAUGUGAUGUUGGAAAGAACAUUGGUUUUGUGUAUGUUUCAACUUGUUACCUUUCUGUAUUCCAAUUUCCCGUUGUUCUGUUGUUUGCUUUUGAUAAAAUACAGGAUUUAAAAACAGGGAGUACUGCAAAAUGCUGUGCAAACUUUAAGGAGAACGCCAGUUUACUAAUUGCUGCCUUUGCAAGGUUCUUGUGUAUAGUUCUGGUAGAAUUUCCACCCAUCUGUACGUCUCUGGAAUGAGAUCCACAGGGUGGCAUACAAUGGAAAAGCCAUUUUUGUUGCAGAAUAGAAAUUAUUUUGAGACUUUUAAGAUCAGUUCGAAAAAGUUUGGUAUUAAUUAAAAUCAGCUGUUCUGCUUGAGAGGAAUUGUGUUUAAAAUUGAGAUAGUACUAAAACUCUUUUGGUAGUAUCCUGGGCUUAAUCAGAUAUUUCAGUGUUCAAACAAGGUAUGACACAUCAACAUACUAACUUUCUUGAAUAACUGAUGACUUGUUAAGAAAUAAUCUAGUGUGUGAAGUGUUUUCUACAUUAGCACCCAUUCUUAAUAUCUUUUUUCCUGAAGUCACCUUAUGAUAUCCUUCUUUUAGUAUCUAGUUCUCUACAGUAAUAUAUGAUCCCCUCUAAGCUCUGUGUGCCUCAAUAUGUAAUCACUUUGAUGACAAUUAUGAAUAUGAAGUCAUACCAAAUUGUACAAUUUAAUGGGAUUAUGUUUCAAAACUAUAUGGUAAAGUAUACAUGGUGAUAUGAUAGACCCUCAAGUUUUUUUAUAUGCUGGGAUUGGGUUUCCUUUUUGCCUCUGUAUAAGGCAUUGUAAUGAUUAUGAGUUAUAACAAAUCAAUUAAAAUAAAAAAAUUAAAAAAUUUUCCUCGGAAUAGACACAUAUUUCAGUCACAAGCAUAAAGAUUUUUAAACUAGGUUAUAUAAUUCAUGUGUGUGGUUUUGUAAUAAUACUCUCAAUAAAAACAUUUCAUUUUCUACCAUGAUUAUAUGAAUGUUAAUUUUAUUCUUUAAUAACCACACUCAUGUAUGGUUUUUAUUAUCCAAGUUGAGUGAUGGUGUGUGUAUACACAGAAAUGUUUUGUUCCAAUGUAUUUUGGAUUUCCAAUAAUCAUGAAUCAAAUCUUACCUUUCUGUAUAAAAACUCUUUAUGUAAUGUAAAAUGUAUAAUAUUGUAUAUAAUAUGCAGAAUACAAUUAUUUUGAUAAAUUAGUUUGUAUUUUUAAUGUCCCAGUUGCAGUAUUUAAUUAUUUGAAUGAUAUUGAAACUUGGUAAUAGUCAAUAAAGCUAUGAAAAGCAAGUGGUAAA